CCAACUUCCAAAAUCCAAGUAGUUAAGUAAAUUGGGGUAUGCAAAAGUUCUACCUUGUGUAUAUGAGAUACAACCUCUCGAGGCAACCUUAUCCCAUUAAGCAAAAAUAAAGGCCUAAGAGGAAAUCUAAUUUUUUUAUUUUAUUUUUAUUAUUUGAAAAGAUAAAAAUGGAACAGGGAUAUUGAGAAUUCUGUUUGAGGACAUUUUUGUACGAUAGUACUAAGUUCUCAUUGGAACAAUAAAUUUUAAGGAUACGAUAAAUUAAAUAAGUAGAGACCAAAUAAACAUCCUCCAUUAUUGGUUUCAAGAUGCUUUCUAUAAAGAAAUCAAACAACUUAACCAUGCUAUCUACUAAAGCUUUGGAAGGAUCAAUUGGAUAAAUAUAUUGAAUUUAGUUUACUUCAAUUAAUCGACAUGCUAAGACAUACAUGUUUUUUGGGUUGAGAAUCCGAUUGACGUUUCUUAGUUUGUUAUGAUAACUACAAGAAAACAGUGGAUUUUGCUUGCAACUCUUUUUUCUUUUGCUCUUCUGCAAUAGAGGAAAGUAGCUGGGCCUUGUAAGAUUCAGCUUCAGGGAUUGAAAGCACUGCUUGAACGUUUUUCACUUGCAAGAUAUUCUGCUGACUUGGAUCUCCAGAAUCUUGGCUAUGAUCCGAGAAUUCCACUGAGGAAGACGAUUUUCUAGUAAAUUCACAAUCUGAACCUACAUGUUCAGUAGUUUCACUAGUUACUGGUGCAAGAAGCCGAGCCAUGGACUCUACGCAUUGAUGCAUAAUUUGUGUUGCAUAUUUUUGACUGUAAGCAGCUGGGUUAUCCCCUGGGUAAGCCACUUCAUCAUUAAUCAAUUCAGCAAGUUGGCUUGCAUAAUAACUCAAAGUCAUUUGCUUUUGUGCUCUUAACUGGAAAGCAUCCAUCAAUCCUUGAAAUGAUGACUUGAAUACUUCUCGAGAAGUAUUAUCAAGCUGCAUCUCUCCUACUAAAUUUUCUGCUUCCGUUCUUACUAAUUGAUUUUGUAAAUCUGUAAGUUUAGGAGAAAGAGGAUCUCGUUCCUCCUCACGUUCAAUGCUUGAGAUUAAUCGUUGUCGAUGUGCUCGUGAGGGUGCGAUGCUAUCUUCCAUAGCUCUAAUGGCUUUGAACUUAAUUCUGUUUUCAUUGAAUGCUUUAACAAACUCGAUUUCUGUUUCUCCCAGUUCACUAACAAGAACUCCAAUUUUAUCGCUAAUAUCAUUCAAACUCAGAUUACUGGAUUUUGCUCCCCAGUCACUCAGAUGAUUACCAAGGUUCAUUAAUCCUUUUCCAGCUUGCUUGUAAGCUUCACCUGAACUUUUACCGGAUCUAAUGAUGCGGUGACUUUUCCUUGAGUCAUCUGCAUGAGAUAGUUCUUUUAACUUGCUGAUCGAAAAUUCUAUGUCAUUAACUUAUUUAUCACACCAAUUUAUAUCUUACUAUUUUUAUUUAAACCCUUCACGAGACCGUUUUCUCUUAAAGAGCCUUUUCUCUGCAUUUUCAAGUUGCUUGAUUUGGGCAUGUUGAUUGUUUACGUUUCAGAAAAAUAUAUGCCCGCCUUAAGAUUUGCCUGUAAACAGAAGCACAAUUUUCAAAUAAACAAUAUAGAAAAAAGACAAAUAAUAAAAAUAAUUCUUUAAAUUC